rnacentral:tRNA from 3 species
AGGGGCGUAGCUCAGUUGGUAGAGCACCGGAUUCCAAAUCCGACGGUCGGGAGUUCGAGUCUCUCCGCCCCUGCCA